rnacentral:rRNA from 1 species
UACGUAGGGUGCGAGCGUUAAUCGGAAUUACUGGGCGUAAAGCGUGCGCAGGCGGUUUUAUAAGCCAGAUGUGAAAGCCCCGGGCUCAACCUGGGAACUGCAUUUGUGACUGCAUGGCUUGAGUGCGGCAGAGGGGGAUGGAAUUCCGCGUGUAGCAGGUGAAAUGCGUAGAUAUGCGGAGGAACACCGAUGGCGAAGGCAAUCCCCUG